rnacentral:rRNA from 1 species
AUUGAACGCUGGCGGAAUGCUUUACACAUACAAGUCGAACGGCAGCACGGGGGCAGCCCUGGUGGCGAGUGGCGAACGGGUGAGUAAUACAUCGGAACGUGCCCGGUCGUGGGGGAUAACGUAGCGAAAGUUACGCUAAUACCGCAUACGAUCUGAGGAUGAAAGCGGGGGACCUUCGGGCCUCGCGCGAUCGGAGCGGCCGAUGUCAGAUUAGGUAGUUGGUGGGGUAAAGGCCUACCAAGCCGACGAUCUGUAGCUGGUCUGAGAGGACGACCAGCCACACUGGGACUGAGACACGGCCCAGACUCCUACGGGAGGCAGCAGUGGGGAAUUUUGGACAAUGGGCGCAAGCCUGAUCCAGCCAUUCCGCGUGCAGGACGAAGGCCUUCGGGUUGUAAACUGCUUUUGUACGGAACGAAAAGGCUCUGGCUAAUACCUGGGGCUCAUGACGGUACCGUAAGAAUAAGCACCGGCUAACUACGUG